CAGUGGCAGACGAGGUAGUAAUACGUAGGAACGUACCCCAAAGUCAGGAAUAAUCCCGCGAAAGCGGGACUAAUACCUGAUGACAUCUCCGGAUUAAAGGAGCAAUCCGCUUUGGGAACGGCCUGCGGCGUAUCAGCUAGUUGGUAGGGUAAUGGCCUACCAAGGCAUAGACGCGUAGGGGACCUGAGAGGGUGACCCCCACCGAUGGAACUGAGAACGGUCCAUACACCUACGGGUGGCAGUAGCCGAGAAUAUUCGACAAUGGGCGAAAGCCUGAUCGAGCGACACCGCGUGAUGGAUGAAGUCCCUAGGGACGUAAACAUCUUUUGUCAGGGAGAAAGUUCGAUGAUAGUACUGAAGAAUAA
rnacentral:rRNA from 1 species